GUCAGAAUGGCCGAGUGGUCUAAGGCGCCAGACUCAAGAUGAUUCAAUCUUCUCUGGAAAUGAGAUUUCUGGUCUCCAGUUGGAGGCGUGGGUUCAAAUCCCACUUCUGACA
rfam:Danio rerio chromosome 20, GRCz11 reference primary assembly.